UUGAACGCUGGCGGCAGGCCUAACACAUGCAAGUCGAGCGGAUGAAGGGAGCUUGCUCCUGGAUUCAGCGGCGGACGGGUGAGUAAUGCCUAGGAAUCUGCCUGGUAGUGGGGGAUAACGUCCGGAAACGGGCGCUAAUACCGCAUACGUCCUGAGGGAGAAAGUGGGGGAUCUUCGGACCUCACGCUAUCAGAUGAGCCUAGGUCGGAUUAGCUAGUUGGUGGAGUAAAGGCCUACCAAGGCGACGAUCCGUAACUGGUCUGAGAGGAUGAUCAGUCACACUGGAACUGAGACACGGUCCAGACUCCUACGGGAGGCAGCAGUGGGGAAUAUUGGACAAUGGGCGAAAGCCUGAUCCAGCCAUGCCGCGUGUGUGAAGAAGGUCUUCGGAUUGUAAAGCACUUUAAGUUGGGAGGAAGGGCAGUAAGUUAAUACCUUGCUGUUUUGACGUUACCAACAGAAUAAGCACCGGCUAACUUCGUG
rnacentral:rRNA from 1 species